CAGCCGCCGCGGUAAUACGUAGGGUGCAAGCGUUAAUCGGAAUUACUGGGCGUAAAGCGUGCGCAGGCGGUUAUAUAAGACAGAUGUGAAAUCCCCGGGCUCAACCUGGGAACUGCAUUUGUGACUGUAUAGCUAGAGUACGGCAGAGGGGGAUGGAAUUCCGCGUGUAGCAGUGAAAUGCGUAGAUAUUCGGAGGAACACCGAUGGCGAAGGCAAUCCCCUGGGCCUGUACUGACGCUCAUGCACGAAAGCGUGGGGAGCAAACAGGAUUAGAUACCCCGGUAGUCCCUGUCUCUUAUAC
rnacentral:rRNA from 1 species